rnacentral:rRNA from 1 species
AGAUUGAACGCUGGCGGAAUGCCUUACACAUGCAAGUCGAACGGCAGCACGGGAGCAAUCCUGGUGGCGAGUGGCGAACGGGUGAGUAAUACAUCGGAACGUGCCCAAUCGUGGGGGAUAACGUAGCGAAAGCUACGCUAAUACCGCAUACGAUCUACGGAUGAAAGCGGGGGAUCGCAAGACCUCGCGCGAAUGGAGCGGCCGAUGGCAGAUUAGGUAGUUGGUGGGGUAAAGCGUCACCAAGCCUUCGAUCUGUAGCUGGUCUGAGAGGACGACCAGCCACACUGGGACUGAGACACGGCCCAGACUCCUACGGGAGCAGCAGUGGGAAUUUUGGACAAUGGACGCAAGUCUGAUCCAGCCAUUCCGCGUGCAGGAUGAAGGUCCUUCGGUUAGUAAACUGUACCGUUUUGGAACGGAACGUAAAAGCCCUAUUUACCGUAAGUACGGGUGUACGUAUGGACGUACCGU